UACGAAGGGGGCUAGCGUUGUUCGGAAUCACUGGGCGUAAAGCGCACGUAGGCGGACUGUUAAGUCGGGGGUGAAAUCCUGGGGCUCAACCCCAGAACUGCCUCCGAUACUGGCGGUCUUGAGUGUGGGAGAGGUUGGUGGAACUCCGAGUGUAGAGGUGAAAUUCGUAGAUAUUCGGAAGAACACCAGUGGCGAAGGCGGCCAACUGGCCCAUUACUGACGCUGAGGUGCGAAAGCGUGGGGAGCAAACAGG
rnacentral:misc_RNA from 1 species